rnacentral:rRNA from 1 species
AUGGGCGGCCUAAUACAUGCAAGUCGAGCGGACAGAAGGGAGCUUGCUCCCGGAUGUUAGCGGCGGACGGGUGAGAAACACGUGGGUAACCUGCCUGUAAGACUGGGAUAACUCCGGGAAACCGGAGCUAAUACCGGAUAGUUCCUUGAACCGCAUGGUUCAAGGAUGAAAGACGGUUUCGGCUGUCACUUACAGAUGGACCCGCGGCGCAUUAGCUAGUUGGUGGGGUAAUGGCUCACCAAGGCGACGAUGCGUAGCCGACCUGAGAGGGUGAUCGGCCACACUGGGACUGAGACACGGCCCAGACUCCUACGGGAGGCAGCAGUAGGGAAUCUUCCGCAAUGGACGAAAGUCUGACGGAGCAACGCCGCGUGAGUGAUGAAGGUUUUCGGAUCGUAAAGCUCUGUUGUUAGGGAAGAACAAGUGCGAGAGUAACUGCUCGCACCUUGACGGUACCUAACCAGAAAGCCACGGCUAACUACGUGCCAGCAGCCGCGGUAAUACGUAGGUGGCAAGCGUUGUCCGGAAUUAUUGGGCGUAAAGGGCUCGCAGGCGGUUUCUUAAGUCUGAUGUGAAAGCCCCCGGCUCAACCGGGGAGGGUCAUUGGAAACUGGGAAACUUGAGUGCAGAAGAGGAGAGUGGAAUUCCACGUGUAGCGGUGAAAUGCGUAGAGAUGUGGAGGAACACCAGUGGCGAAGGCGACUCUCUGGUCUGUAACUGACGCUGAGGAGCGAAAGCGUGGGGAGCGAACAGGAUUAGAUACCCUGGUAGUCCACGCCGUAAACGAUGAGUGCUAAGUGUUAGGGGGUUUCCGCCCCUUAGUGCUGCAGCUAACGCAUUAAGCACUCCGCCUGGGGAGUACGGUCGCAAGACUGAAACUCAAAGGAAUUGACGGGGGCCCGCACAAGCGGUGGAGCAUGUGGUUUAAUUCGAAGCAACGCGAAGAACCUUACCAGGUCUUGACAUCCUCUGACAACCCUAGAGAUAGGGCUUUCCCUUCGGGGACAGAGUGACAGGUGGUGCAUGGUUGUCGUCAGCUCCGUGUCGUGAGAUGUUGGGUUAAGCCCGCAACGAGCCAACCUGAUCUUAGUUGCCAGCAUUCAGUGGCACUCUAAGGGUGACUGGCCGGUGACAACCCAAGGAAGGGGGAAGAACG